GCCAGUCCAGAUGCUGGAAGAGUAGCCAGCAGGUUCCCCAGCUGCCUGUCUCAUUGCCCUGAGAGGCAGUUAGGUGCUUGCAGAGAGACAGGUCCUAAAGGUUUAGUGACGAAAGAAUUGGAAACCAGGGGGCUAAGACUCUCCAGGAGCCGAAGCAUCGGUCCCCUGGCUCAAGCCUCUUUUAUUUUUGCAAAUUACCUGAUAACAGCGAGCACGUACAACAUAGUAUUUGGCAUCUUGACAGGCCGUGCACCUGCAGUAUAUUCCAUACUGGGUCAUGAGUACAUCUGGCACCAGACAAAACAUUCUUAUCCCAGGCCUGGAGCCCGUAUGAUGUCCUUCUGGAGAGAAUGAGCAGUCACGGCAGCCUUCCGUCCUGGGAAUGAAACUGCUUUCAGUUUUCUUGCUGCUCUGUCCCUUUCCUUCAGGACAUUCUUAUAGUGCCUCCAGCUUCUUGUUCUCCAAUGGGUGAUCUCCUCCGGAGUGAAGAUCCGGCAUCUUCCCAAAUGACUAAGAAAUCAUCAUAGCCAACUUCGGUGAAGAAUGUGAUGAGAAUAUCCUGCUCUUUCUGACGUGCUUUUAUUUAGGAAGAGUUAACCUGGAAUCCUGUCUGCUCUCUCCUCUGCCCAUUCCACAUGACUUCCAGCGCUGUGCAGGGGUCUCGUCACCAGGACUCACCUGGAAUCACCAUGAACUCUUCCUGCAAGCUCCAUCUCCAGUGCCGCUCCUUUUACGAACCUUCUCUGGCCAUUUAAUGUGCUCCAUUUAGCUCUCUGGCCUCAUGUUAUUUGCAACAUUCCUAUUUCCUUUUCAAUCUCUGCUUUGUACUAUAAUCACCAAAGGGCAUGUCCAUUUCCCUCACUAGACAGCAAGUUCCUUGAGGGCACUAUUGUGUUUUACACAACUUUCUAUGUCAUAUAAAACUUCCCACCUGGGUAAUUCAACAAUAAAUGAACAGACACAAAGACAUGUAAGGGAAAAGAAUAUGGACAUAGUUCCAACUAUGUGCCCACAGUGUUAGAUUAAGAAAUGGCUCAUUACCAUGACCUUUGAAGUCUGGCGUGUGUCCCAUUGUCUUUGCUCUUCACUUAGAGGGAAUGGUGAUUUUUCAUUUUCGACUGAUAAUUCCCAUGCUUUCUACAUAAUUUUAUUAUAUAUGUUCACAUUGCC